rnacentral:rRNA from 1 species
ACGGGUGAGUAAUGCUUAGGAAUCUGCCUAUUAGUGGGGGACAACAUUCCGAAAGGAAUGCUAAUACCGCAUACGCCCUACGGGGGAAAGCAGGGAUCUUCGGACCUUGCGCUAAUAGAUGAGCCUAAGUCGGAUUAGCUAGUUGGUGGGGUAAAGGCCUACCAAGGCGACGAUCUGUAGCGGGUCUGAGAGGAUGAUCCGCCACACUGGGACUGAGACACGGCCCAGACUCCUACGGGAGGCAGCAGUGGGGAAUAUUGGACAAUGGGGGGAACCCUGAUCCAGCCAUGCCGCGUGUGUGAAGAAGGCCUUUUGGUUGUAAAGCACUUUAAGCGAGGAGGAGGCUACCGAGACUAAUACUCUUGGAUAGUGGACGUUACUCGCAGAAUAAGCACCGGCUAACUCUGUGCCAGCAGCCGCGGUAAUACAGAGGGUGCGAGCGUUAAUCGGAUUUACUGGGCGUAAAGCGUGCGUAGGCGGCUGAUUAAGUCGGAUGUGAAAUCCCUGAGCUUAACUUAGGAAUUGCAUUCGAUACUGGUCAGCUAGAGUAUGGGAGAGGAUGGUAGAAUUCCAGGUGUAGCGGUGAAAUGCGUAGAGAUCUGGAGGAAUACCGAUGGCGAAGGCAGCCAUCUGGCCUAAUACUGACGCUGAGGUACGAAAGCAUGGGGAGCAAACAGGAUUAGAUACCUGGUAGUCCAUGCCGUAAACGA